CAUGAAGGAGGACAGGAUUAACAAUGCAGAUGUGAUCCUGUAUCCAGGGAGAAUGAUUUUCAGACUGGAGAAGCUGGAACAAAAAUGAUUAACACGGAAUUGAAGAACACUCAGGUAAUGGCAUAAUUUUAAUUGUACAUAUGCUUUGCAAGAAUUUAAAGAAGGAAAUUUCCAAAAGAAUGGAAAAUAUUCUAUCCAGUAAAAAUGAUCAGGAAGACAUCUCUUGAUAAGAAUAGACUAUUGUAAAUAUCAAAAGUAUUUUUGAUGAUAAUUUAAUAAUG
rnacentral:lncRNA from 1 species